rnacentral:lncRNA from 1 species
UUUUUUUCCCCUGUCUCCUUUAUUCCAUUUACCAGUACAGGGCUAUGACAAGAGGAAAAUUAUUCCUGGUCAGAAACAGGAUCUCUUUACUCUGAUGAGGUCAAAAGCAGUUUAGCUGAAGAGGGAACAGAAUCAUUUUCAGCACUGUUAGAAAAAGCACAUGGACAAGGAGUUGGUUCAACAUAAUGUCAGGAUUUCUUUGCCAGCUCUGGAAAGUGUUUUGCCUUGUCUUGAAGAACUAUUUCAUUUCCUCCCAAAAUGCAAGAGCUUCAGGAACCGUCAAGCAUCUUAAGAAGGUACACAAAACUUAAAGCUGACACUCAAGUACCAAGAGAACUGUACGCAACAGCAAGGGCAACUGGAAGUCAUGUAGAGUGCCUCUCAGUCUAUAAUUGCCAAAGGAGUGCUGCCACUGAACAGAUACAUUAUUGGAGCAAGGAGGAGCCCAGGGAGAGGCGAAGAGAGCAAGAAAAAUCUGACAAGCAGAGGAACAACGAGAACAGACAAGGAGAAAAACCUGUCAGUGGAAACCUAAUCCAACUCCAAGGAAUAUACAGCACUGCUCAAAGCAGAAUCUACAUGAUGACAAGGUCAUUUUCAUCUCAUCAGCUAUGAAGCGCAGCCUGGCACCUUCCUCCCCCAUCUCUUUCCCCACAGAGGUACAGAAGGAGAGAAUGAGUUGAAUGACAGGUGAUCAAGGUGCUGCGCUGAGUAAACAGCUGCUGGCAAUGCAAGGUUUAAAGAGCUGACAGAGCGGAUAGGUGUUGAGCUAUGCUGUUAAAAUGGAUUUAUCUUC